GAGGAUGAAGGUGCCGACGGAUCAGACAGCCGAGAUGAACUGAGAAAAGUAAAGGAAGAUGCAAAGUGUUAAGGACCAAAAGGUAGACAGCGAUGGGUGGCUUAAAUACUUCGUUUAUGCUUGCAGGUGCAUCGA